GAGCGUCGCCGAAGGGAGCUGAUGAGGCCGAGAACCAACCCCGGGAGAGGCCGGUACUCAGGAGGGCCCCCUAGGGCCCGGCUCUGGGCUGGGAGGACCCGGAUGUCAUCAGAGGAUGACCACUUGUGCAGGAAGGAGCCUGGUGCCCGAGGAUUAGAGAAGAUAUUGGUCUCAUCGUGGGACAGACGGCGGGACAGAGGGACCUGGGGAGAAGAGCAAGUAGACCCAGAGGUGCUGCAGGGACAAGCGGCUAGAGGCAGGAACCAAAGUGGGGUUCCUCUGCACGAUGGCGCCACCCCUUAAACUUUUGCAAAACA